UCUGUGAUGGAGGAUAAUCAUCAGGAGCAAAAGUCAAAGAAUUUGCACCUCUUGUCACGGAAGAACAUGAUUUUGUCCCUUUCUCUUUUCUCUUUGUUUUUCCUACGGUUUUAAUGUGUCAGACAAUAAGACAAAGUACAAAAUGUCUAUGUUUCAUCAGGGCACCCUGCAAUGCAUCUCUGAUGAGCAGACGGCGACAAACGUGACCCAUCCUGAUUAAAUACAAACUUUGGAGACAUGAAACCUGGCAGGAGUAUCUCACCAACUCCCUUGACAUCUUCGAAUAAAGUCAGCCAAAGCAGUCUGAGUGUGCCUGGCAAAGGGUCAAGGGUUGGCUAGUUUGCAUAACCUCUUAAUGCCUUCUUGAAACUACACGGUUUGCAGGUCCUAAGGCUCCCUGUGACUGAUGGAAAGAUGGAAACUUCUGGCAGGCACUGCACUCUGUUAUAUCUUGGCAACAGUGGACCUGAGGUUGCUGCGUCAGACCCAGCACCCUCUGCACACACUUUUGUCUGUCUAAUUAACACCUGUGUGUGUCUGGCUCCCAGAAGCCCAGACACCUGUCCCCCAGUUCAUAGAGCUGCUGUCAGCCCCGUAAGUGUGUCCGUGUGUAUAUACAGAAGUGUCUGUGUGGGUGGGUGGUAGAUGGUCAUCACACUUGAAUCCAUACAACUCUUGUUAAGUUUUGUGAGUCUGAGAAGAAAGUUAGCUAUAAGUGUACCAGGGAGCGGAGGUGGGAGCUGGACUGCAUGAAAGCAAAGCUCUUUGUUUUUUGUCGUUUGCUUUAUGGUGUUGUUUACUGUGUCUGAGCAGGAGUGAUAAACAGAAAUACUGAGCGCAGGAGGUGAGGAAAAACAGGAGAAGCACACAUCACACUUUUGCUGUUUCCUCCAUUGCAGAAAGAAAAGCUUGGGGGGGUUGGUGGGAAUGGGAACAUCGAAACACUACAGUAUUUUUCCUUUCCUUUUUUUAUUCAUGACUUAUAUUACUGUCCAUUCUUGACCUUCUUUUUUUUGCCCUCUGCCAACCAAUCUGGUCUUUCAAAGACUUGGCAAGAUAUGUCACACCCUGCAGUUCAAAGAAUAUUUCUGUUUCAGAUUUUUUUUCUUCAGAUAUUUGAUGUGUUGAAGCUCAUUUCUAUACGUUGUUUAACCCAAGGAGGUCUGUAAUACCUAGAAACCAUUAGCAUUGCCAUUUAUUUCAAUGGCAGGACCCCCAGGAAGCAUGUGAGCAUUUGAAAUCUGACAUCUAUCCUCAUAGGCAGCUUUUUUUCUUUUUUUUUGGCAUGCCGAUCCAAUCUAAAAAAAAAAAAACUCUAAAAAUGUACUAAAAUAAAUGUAUAAUAAAUAAAGUCCACUUAAAAUGUCUAAAAGAAUAAUUGAUGCAAGAUUUACAAACCGUAAUAUUUUACCGUAAUACAAGCAACAAUAUACUGCUUAAAAAAAGACUGCUUAUUUUAUUUUAUUUUUGCUGUGCAUUUGUUUAGAUAUAAUUGCACCGUCAAUCACUGACAUUGACUAUGAUUGAAUGAUUUGAAAGAUUCAGAUUCUUUUUAUUUGAUCCUUAAUCAAAACAUUGUUAGUUUGUUGUUAAUAUCUCUCUUCUUUGUUUUUUCAUCCUGGUUUAAACAAUAGUAUGUUGUAGUUAUUUUAUAAUUUUGUUAUAAAUGAGUAAUCAUUCUGGAAUCACAUUCAAAUAAUGUCAUCACAGUGCUGACCGGAUAAAUAUUUAGAAAUAGGUCAAACAUGUACUAUGCUGAAAAUUAAAUAUAUGCUUUUAAAUGGAGGAAGAUGUUUUUUUCCCCUCCUUGCAGAUGGUGUAGUUUUGGCAUCUACUAUGAGGGGCUAAUGGGGUCAUGUAAACCAGUCAAGAUUGACCCCUUAAUUUAACCCCCUUCAUAACCUCUGAUUCCCAUGGUCUACUUUACUUUUAACUCACCUGCUUAACCACAAUCCUUUUCACUCAAGUAGGCUGCACCCUGCAGACACAAGCUUUCAUCUCCAGCCUCUGUUCUGAAGCGGCCUUCCCAUCCGCUCACAAAUUGAGUUAUUGAGUUCACACUUCCUCCUCCUGUGCUCCAGCCUUCAGUCCACCAUCCUGCUGAGAGUCACCAUGACUGCUCAAAUCCAGUUCUCGUCUCUGCUCCCGUGGACAGCAAGAGAUUAUGAGCGGCAGUGUAUCAGCUGAGCGCUGCUGCUUUCGCCUGCGCCUGUGCCACAGCACAGAAUGAAUAAUUUAAAGUGCCAGCUCGGGCAUGCGACGCCGCCUUUUCUGGACUAUUAGCUACACAAGCAGCAUUAGGCUCAUCGCUGAAACGUGGUGCAGUCUCUCUCUCCUCGACACAAGUUACAUCGCAUACAGACAAGGCCAAGCACUAACUUUCAAGGUGUCAGGCUCGAUAGCAGAUGAUGAUUUAUGAAAAAAAAAAAAAAUUGGAUUAAAGGACAAAGAUUACAGGAAUUGUAAAAGAAACACAGCUGAAAUACAAUAUCAAAAUAUAUUAUAAACCAAAUUGGACCAUAGGUGCGGAACAGUUUUUUUUUUAUCAUCAUUGAUAUAGUUUAUAUUAAUAUUUUAAUUAUUAUUUUUUAGAGUUAUUCAUUUUGUUCUCUCUCUCUCUCUCUCUAUCACUUUUUAUGUCCAUAUAGUCCUUUUUCAGUACUUAAAGUUUAACUUAAAAAUUAAGAAAUGCCUUGACCGCUUGCUAAAAUAAUAGUUUUAAAAAUAAUAAUUUUAUUUUAUUUCCAUCAAUGAAAAUAUUUAUUAUUAUUAUUAAUAAGUAAGUAUACAUUUAAUUAAAACGUCUUUAUUUACUCUAAUUUUUUUAGAAAACUUGGGAAAAAAUGUUCCAGCUGUUCUUUUUCCAUACAAAGAAAAUAUUGUGCUAAAUCAUCAAUGGACUUUAAAAACAGAGAUUUGGAGUAAAAAAUAAAUUUCUGGGUGGACUUUAAAUAAAUGGAUAGUGUGGUCUCAUUGAAUAGUAUGUAUAAUAUGCACUGAAAUAUUGCACACAAAAGUGGUGCAACUAUUUAGUGAGUUUGUCCCAGAAAGUAAUAGAGGAAGUCAGUAGGAACGAGUGUGAAAACCGGUGAUGGAGUAGGUGUGAAGAUGACGUGAUGGCAAAGUAGAAAUGCUAGCUUUAAUGAAAGAGUGUGUUCAGGCUGAAGAGUGUAAGUCUGUCCGUGUGCUGACAUUCGACAUCCCCCUCUGUGACACCAUCCUGUCAGAAAGAACAGGCUGAAGAAGGAGAGAGCAGGAGCACACGCCAUGUUCACCCAGAAACAGGAAAAGAGAGACAAAAGUAGAUCUGGUGAACAUACAAUCUUACAUUUAAAGGAAUAGCUCAGUCCAAAAUGAAUUUCUGUCAUCAUUUACUCACCUGCAUGUCUUUGCAAACCUGUACGGCUUUCUUUGUAAUAUAGAAAUUAGGAAUUUGACAGAAUGUUUGAAAUAUGUUACUGUAAGUUGGCUAAGUUACUUUCAAAAAGUAAUUAAUUUCUAUUACUAAUUACAUCAUCAAUAUUGUAUUUAAAUUGCUUUACUAAUUACUCUGUCUGAAAGGUAACUUAGUCACUCAAUAAGUAUCUUAAUCUUUCAAAUCGCGAAUAAGGCUACAUCUUAAAAUCCCUAUAAACCUUAAUAGAAAUUAAACUCUUUAUUCUUUCAAUUUGAGUCAAACAGAAUAGUUUAGCCUUUAAGCUUUAAAACAACUGCAAUACUUAAAAAUGUUUAUAAAAAAAUGGAAUCUUUGGUUAACAAAUAGAAAUACACCGAAUAACAACAUAUCUGUAUAACAAAAAAACUUUUAAAAAGAUAAACAAUACAUUUCAGUUUGACAAGAUAUUCAGCAAAAGUCCAACUAAAAUCUGUAUAAAUAAAUUAUAUAUAGAACAAAUUACACAAAUUAUCUUCUCUGCUGAAUAAAGCUGUCAGAUUACGCUGUUCUUCUGAGGUAAAUUCCUCAUUGCUGGACUUAUUUAAAAAAACUAUGAAAAUUGGACGAAUCGAGAAUUUUUUUAAAUAAAUGUUUUUGUAUCUAGACGACGGUGUUUGUGUGCAGGUGACUGCAAUGAGCUCAGAUACAGGAAAGACUGUACCUCACGUAAGUUUCAUAAUCAAAAAAUUCGUUUUCGAUUUGAAUUAGUUCAUUUAAAAGUAGACGCAAGCUUUCUGUAGACAUAUUUCUCAUGUCUCUACGUCAAAUAUUUGCUUUAUAAGUAACUGUAAUUAAAUUACUUAAAAAUGAGCAGUAAUCCCUUACUUUACUUUUUCAGUGGAUGAGUAAUUUAAUUACAGUAACUAGUUACAUCCAACAAUGAGCAGCACAAAAUAGUAAAAACAUUUUUUUUUUAUUAAUACAAAAAUAAAUUAAAUAAAAAGAUAAUAAUGAGCUUAUUAGAAUGAUUAUUGAUCAAAUACAGAAUAUGCAGCCUUGGUGUGCAUAUGAAAUAACACCUUGUCAAAUUCAAGUGACUUCACUUUUCAUUCUGCUAUAUCUUCUUUUGAGUAGUAGGCAAAAUGCAUUUGGACAGACAUGAGGGUGAGCAAAUGAAGAUGAUUUUCAUAUUAAUAUUCAAGUGAAAUAUCCCUUUAAAUGGGAGACUUGUUAAAAAAUCUAGGUCCUUGAAAAGGUCGUGGAGUCUUUUAGUGAAUCCUGGAUAACAGUCCGUUGAUUUCCUCCGACAAGCCUGAUGUUUUUGACAGAUUUCACUGACACAAUUGGUUUUUCCCCCUCUGCAGGUUUGGCACUGACUGAAAGCUGGCAGACGCUCGGAACAAACCCGUUGUUUGUCAGAGGUGUCACACGAUGAGAGCCCUGCAUCCCUGUCCUCUCGCGCUCCUCAUUUCCUCUUCAAGCAAAGCUUGUUUAGAGUGGGCGUCGGCCAUGUGUGUGCGUGUGUGAUAGGGAGCCUGAGGGAUGUGAGUCGGCACGGCUCUCAGAGUAAUUGAAAAUGUGACCUGGAAAAUGUUUGCCCAGCAGAGCAUGAAAGUUACCUCCGGAGCGCCGGCUGAAACUCACCUGCGGUGCGGACUGGGAGGGCCUGGGAAUGCUGGGAUAUCGGGCUGAGAGCCACUUUAUCCCUGCAGAGCCAUGCACACCGACGUCUCAUGCAUUAUUCACAGCCUCUAAAUAAGCACAGAUCAGACCACUAAAACCCAACCUGCUGGCCCUUUCCUGAGGAGUACCUCUCUUACCACUGACCUCUGCAAGGGCAUCGCAGAUCUGUAAGUGAGCAAGUGUGUGUGUGUUGAUGUGUGAAAGAGAAAAAGACAGGAGAGUUUAGAUUUGAUGUUAAAAUAAAUAUAGUGCAUUUCAAGUACUUUAUAAUGCGUUGUUUACGGGACUUUUUUGUCGUCUUUUUAGUAAAAUGUUUACUAUUGCAUCUUGUAUAGUUUAGCUUGUAUAGUUUCUAGUUUAAAAAUGAUGAUUUGGCUGUCAAGAUAAAUUGAUAAAAUCCAAAUUAUUAUAAAUGCAAUUGUGGAUAAAAUUGAUUACAAAAUACCUUAAAUGUGAAUUAAAGAGGGACUUGAGUGCUAUCUAGAGAAUGGAAUAUAAUAGAAACUUGGUGAGGGGCUUUUUCGACCCUUGGAACUGGUUAGCAUUGUGCUAAAAACACUUUCACGAAUUCGUCUGCACAUUCAGUCUUAUUGGAUAAUGGUAAACGAGCAUGGCUUGCUGUCCUUGAUGCAGGCUCAAACCCGAGGCUUGGCUUGAGAUCCGAGUUCAAUGCUCCCAUUGUGGUACUACAAAGAAUGAGAAUGGCAGAAAUAGAGGAGGAGAUGGGGAGCUGGAGGGAUGCAAGAAGAAUGGUCGCUGGGACGGCGCAAUGAAUGCUGCUUAUUUAGGCCCGUACCGAUGAUUUACAAGACUGAAUGAUUAGGCUCCUUCCAAACCUAAACUUCAUUUUGCAACUACAUGGCAAUACCCUAACAUUAUGGCAGUGAGUUUUAUAAGAGGAAUAAGUUCAAGACAUCUUCUAAAAGUAGAAGACCAAUAGUUUAACCCCAUUUUGUGUUUGUCUGACCUUGGACAUGAUGAAAUUUCAGUGGUGAGGUUUUUGUCGAAGUGGAAAGCCAGAACACAUCAUUAAUAGCUUUGGCGCAUGAGCAGCUAAAUAUCUAAUUGCCUUGUUUUGGCACGAAAAGAGCAUCAGUCUGGCACGUCCGGUGGCAUUCUAACCCCACACCUGGUCCACACACACCUAUUGAUUCGGCUAAAGAAGCAGACAUGGGAUUGAUCCGUGUGCUCGCUCCCCAACUAGCAUGCAAAUCAGAUCAAAUCAGACACCGAGAGAUGAAGAGAGAAAAUUCUGGCAAUCGCCUUCUCUGAACAUACAGAAUUUCGGUGAAAAUCUAGUUUGGAAUGAAAUCACGCUCGGAAGCAUCAGGCAAAUCUGACUACAAUUAAUGGUGUGGAUGAAUGCAAUCAAAGCAUCACCUCUAUCUCAUAUGACCAAGGUCCUCUGGGUCAUUUUCAUUACCCACUAUAAUUAUUUCAAGAAAUCUAAUUAGCAAAAGGGGCUUUUGCCUGUUUUAUUGAAAGAGACAAAGCAAUGUCAAAUCACAAAGAUAUCCGAGCAGUCAUUUGCAGAUGGUAGUCGAAAAGGGGGCGGGGCUCCACACUUCAGUAAGCUUUCUGUGUUUGCCGAAAUCUCUGUCUUUCCAGUUUCUGUGUUUGUUUGAAUGUCUUUUUUUCCUGGUGGGGAAUGUUUGCAGUCAUGUGUAUGUAGGAGUGUGAAGCUGAAUGCUUUUGAAGCGCUGCCGUCUGUGUUGGAUGCAGACUGGCGAGCGUCUUUAUUCCCAAUCUCACGGCCCGGCAGUCAUGUUGAGGGCUCGGUGAUGAAUUGGAUGGCUGCUCUCUCUCCCUGAGUUUCUCUUCUUCUCUCUCCCUCUCUCCUUGUUUCUCACCGUUCCUAUCUGUCUCCCUCCCUCUUUUUGUUUCUUUUUUCCCCACUCUUGAUCACUGAAGUGGAGGCUCUCUACAGGAUGGAAACUGUAUCUCUCUCUCUCUCUCUCUCUCUCACACACACACACACACACGCACAGAGAUAUCAUGAAUAUGUAAGGGGUCCUUGCUGGAGUACAUCCUAGUCCAUGAGGGAAAGCCAAUGCUGUCUUUCCACAGGCUCUCAUGUGGGGGAACGCUGGAGGGAGAAGACAAAGACGGCUGGGCAAAACACAGGGUCUUCACCCCAGUUCUCCAGCCGGGUGUACAGUGCACAGUUUUACUCCAGAUCUGACCCAAGUCUACCUGCUAAACCAACCAGGUUUGAUUAGCCAGAACAGACUGGUUUACACUAGGCCUGAAAUAUUACAAUUCACAAGUCAGCUUAUUAAUUAGUCAAUCUGUUUAGCCCAGUCUUCUGAGAAAGCUGGUUGCCCAAGGAAGUCUUCACUAUGUUCAAGGCACAACAUUUGCUAUUUACUUAAUAUAUUGAGUUUCAUAUACCAAAAAAAUAUUUCAAAAUGUAUUUCAGGGCAAGAAAAUACAUUUAUAUUCUUAUAGUUGCCUACAAAUGGGCUUUAUUCAUUAUUCCUUUUUUUUAUGUGUUAUGGACAACAAAUACAUUUUUCUUCAAAUGUAUCAUGUGAAUGUAUUUUCUUGGAUUGAGAUAUAUGGAGGGCAAAAUAUAUUUGUAAGUGUUUAAAAAUAUAUAAUUAAAAACUAUAUAUUUUCAUAAACUAAAUAUACUAAAAAUGGCCAAAAGUAAAUUGUUAAUACACACACACACACACACACACACACACACACACACACACACACACACACACACACACACACACACACACACACACAUUAUGCAAUCAAUGACAUUUUAACAUCUUUUACAGGACAUAUUUCUUGCUAUACAUUAAAAGUGUGUAAUGUAAAUAGCACUGGAUUUGCCAUUUUGUGAUUUUGUUUUCAUCUGUUUUUAAAACCAAUUUCCAAUUUUAUAUUGGUUGGAGAAACAGAUGGUCCUGUCCCAAACUUACAACAUCGGCUGGUAAAGAUGCUUAAACAUCCUGCAGUGUUUUGAUGUUUCUGCAUUUUUUUGGAGAAAUCAACCUGUCAACUUCCAAUGAAGUUCUCUCUACAUAUUAAACUGGGACAGAAAAGGUAUUUUAAUGAAUAAUUACACACAUCACCUUUAAAGAUUCAAAUAAAUAUCCUACAGCAUCCAUAUAGAGUGCAUAAGUUGAGCGAACCGUUGCAGCGUUUCAGACAUCAGCAGGGCACGACUCAUUGGUUUCACUGGUGAGUCGCUAUGGAUAAAAGCAUCUGGCAAAUGAAUAAAUGCAAAUAAAUUUAAAUAUAGAUGUGCUAUGAAAUGUCAUACAUGCCUUGGGAACUUCAGAAACUUCUGCUGAUAACUUUAGAUGUACUAAAUCUUGCAAUCACGAUUCUGCAUCAGAGGUUCUCCAUUAUGUCUUGACCCCCACAGAGCCUGUCCUCCUUCUCCCUGCAGGAGGCCAUUUGCAUAGGUCACGAUAUUUUAUAACGAAUGUUGCUAACUCCCUUCAUCAUUUUCGUGUAGCAUGAGUAUGAGUCAGCUGAGAUUCCAAAAGCAGACUCAUUUGCAAGCUUCAUAUUAAUCGCCCUUAUUCGCGCACCAUUGACCUUCUGUGGUCAGGUGGAGAUGAGGGAAAGCAAUAAUGUUUAGCGGAGGGUAAACCCAUAACAGAACCUGAUUAUGACUUGGAGAAGAACUUGGAGUGGGUCUCUCCAUACAGAGACUUGAGAAUGAGAAGCGAGACAAUUUGCAUUCCAAUUUUCAGACAAACCUUUGAGACAAAAGAAAAUCUCACGUCCGUGAUUCAUCGUCCCCUCUGACUCUGAGAAUGUGUCUGAACUUGGUGACACUACAUGGAGCCCAGAUCAUUUUCUAUGUAUGCAUUGUUUUAGUAUAGACUUACUAUUUUAAAUCAUAGAUUAACAAAAUAUUGGUUUGAGCAUUGUUGUAGUACACUAUUGCCUUAUUUGAAGGCUUUAUGUAGAAAUGCAGCUGUUCAUCCAAAUAUGAAUGCUUCCAUAUCUCAUUCAUUUGAAUGUUUAUUGUCAUGUUAUGACUGAACACAUGACAUGCAACUGUCAAUGAUAUCAUGUUAUACAGCCUGACUUGUUGCAUUUACAGAAGCCAUUGUGAAAUGGAUGCAGACGGUGGGUUUCUGGGAAAAACAAAAGAAGGAAAGGAAGCUAAUGGCUUUGAAACAACAUGAGGGUGCGCGAAUAAUGAGUAAAUUGCUAUUUAUGUCAUUAAUAGAACAAAAAACUCAAAGGAUAAUAACCCAGGUUCACAGAAAAUGUUUUCAAGUUUUCAAGUAAAAAACAAAAAUCAUUCAUUUUUAAAAUGUAAUGCAAUUUGUUGUUAAAUCUCAUUUAUAAACUUUUUUUUUUAAUAAAGCUGUAUUCAUAAACUCUUU